rnacentral:rRNA from 1 species
CCUACGGGAGGCAGCAGUGAGGAAUAUUGCACAAUGGGGGGAACCCUGAUGCAGCAACGCCGCGUGGAGGAUGACGCAUUUCGGUGUGUAAACUCCUUUUAUAUGUCAAGAAAAUGACGGUAGCAUAUGAAUAAGCACCGGCUAAAUCCGUG